UACGAAGGGGGCUAGCGUUGCUCGGAAUCACUGGGCGUAAAGAGCUCGUAGGCGGUUUGUCACGUCUGCUGUGAAAACUGGAGGCUCAACCUCCAGCCUGCAGUGGGUACGGGCAGACUAGAGUGCGGUAGGGGAGAUUGGAAUUCCUGGUGUAGCGGUGGAAUGCGCAGAUAUCAGGAGGAACACCAAUGGCGAAGGCAGAUCUCUGGGCCGUAACUGACGCUGAGGAGCGAAAGCAUGGGGAGCGAACAGG
rnacentral:rRNA from 1 species